ensembl:lncRNA
AGAAGGAGAAGGAGAAGAGGACCAAGGUGCAGCGUGGUAGAAGGAGAAGAGGACCAAGGUGCAGCGUGGUAGAAGGAGAAGGAGAAGAGGACCAAGGUGCAGCGUGGUAGAAGGAGAAGGAGAAGAGGACCAAGGUGCAGCGUGGUAGAAGGAGAAGAGGACCAAGGUGCAGCGUGGUAGAAGGAGAAGGAGAAGAGGACCAAGGUGCAGCGUGGUAGAAGGAGAAGGAGAGGAGGACCAAGGUGCAGCGUGGUAGAAGGAGAAGGAGAAGAGGACCAAGGUGCAGAGUGGUAGAAGGAGAAGGAGAGGAGGACCAAGGUGCAGCGUGGUAGAAGGAGAAGAGGACCAAGGUGCAGUGUGGUAGAAGGAGAAGGAGAAGAGGACCAAGGUGCAGAGUGGUAGAAGGAGAAGGAGAAUAGGACCAAGGUGCAGCGUGGUAGAAGGAGAAGGAGAAGAGGACCAAGGUGCAGCGUGGUAGAAGGAGAAGGAGAAUAGGACCAAGGUGCAGCGUGGUAGAAGGAGAAGGAGAAGAGGACCAAGGUGUAGCGUGGUAGAAGGAGAAGGAGAAGAGGACCAAGGUGUAGCGUGGUAGAAGGAGAAGGAGAAGAGGACCAAGGUGUAGCGUGGUAGAAGGAGAAGAGGACCAAGGUGCAGCGUGGAAGGACCCACCAACGUGAGCUGAGCAGAUAACCAAUCAGGAUGCCAUUUCAAGGUUGGUCUCAACAUCACAGCCAAACUAAAGGAAGACAGACAUUCAAUGACUCACCACUGUCAAUGCAGUGCAUUGGUCUACAAAACCAGAUGAUUUCAUUUGAUGUGUUGUUUAUUGUCAAGGGGAAUACCAUUUUACAAUGUGGAAGAGGAAGGUAAUAUUUGUGAAAUAUUCACCUCCUAAGAAAUUUUCA